UGUGCCUACUCCCCCCUCCCCCCAAAGAGCCAGUUGUUACACAUUUACCAAUACACCCUUGGAUGGACUACAGAUCUGGGAGUCAUCAGCAGAGAGAUCAUAAAUAAACUUAUGGAAGCUGAUGAGGUCAUAAAGAGAGGACAGAGAGAAGACAGAUUGGCCCAGGACAGAACCUCGGGGGUGCACUCACAGUCAGGGGGCAUGCAAUGGAUGAUGAGUCAAUAAAGGAGACUAAAGGUGGCUCGUAGGUAGAAGAAGAACUAGGCGAAGGAAAUGUCACCAAAUCCAGAGAAGAUGGAUUUUACAGGAGGAGAGAGUGGACAACAGUGGCAGGGGACAUUGCAGACCCAGCCACAAUAUUUGAAAACAUACUGGCUAUUUUGCAUUUUGGAGCAGUGAGAUACAAAAUGAACCUCAGUUACAAGGAGAUGCCAGUGCUUUGCUUCAUCUGAAAGAAGAGAUCAGGUAGUGGUAACAGGGGUCUCUACGCUGGACUGCCAGAAGCUAUGCUCCUCUUUCCUGGAGGAGUUGAACCACUACGCUUUUGGAAAUCUACCCUGGGGCUGAGCUCUCCAUAUUAGUGAAUGAGCAGAAAUGUAAGUUCAGGGAACGUGAACGUGAAGGACUAUUGGAACUCUCUCGAUGAAGAUUUCCAAGUCGUGGUACUCUCCAUGGAGCAGGGAAGUAUCAUGAAAUAAAUUACUUACUGAGACCUAACCUCUCCUGGUUCUAUCAUCUUAUUCAGAAUGGGUUGGUUAGAAGUAUAGUCCUGUUAUAGUAAGUACACUGAAUCACAGAAUGUUGGAACUAAAAGGCAGCUGAGAGAUCCUGUAUGUUUGCCAUUGUCCCCUACAGCUCAGCUCAAACAAGGAAGAACUGAAGCCCAAGCCCGGCUUCAUGCUGUUGGUUUGCAGCCAGGAGGAAAGGCUGGUCUGUGGUUCAAAGAAGAAAACUCUAGCCAAAAUGAGCAUUCAGUCAGGAAGACCAUAGUUACUCUGAGUGGGGUACAGGAAAAUGUAGUCUGUUGUGAAGAGGUUUCUCAAACAUUUUGUUUUAGGAUGUCAGUCAAUAAGCAUUUAUUAAGACUCGCCCUGUGCCAGAAAAUGUGCAAGUGCCUAUUAUAAUCCUUUAAUCUGUCAAGCUGCACAUUAAUAAUUUGGGAACUUAAUUAGUGAAGGAGAACUUCUGGGGCGCUAAAGCUC